GUAAAUUAUAUGGCACUUCAACAUAUCGAGUGGCAGUGGAAUUUUUGUCUUAUUUCAUUUGUUUUUGGCGCAGAUAACUGAUUUUUUUAAAAAUAGAAGAACAAGUGCUAUAUCUUAUUGUUUAUUUGACGGCGGUAUGACGGUUAGCGACUCAAAUAAUAGGGUCAAUACUGCAUCUGAUCUGAAAGUAUCGAGUAUGGACUUUACACAGUAUAAAAUACAGCUUUGCGUAGUAUGGACUCAACAACAAUGGCCGUUCAUGGAUUUGGAAAUACGAAGAAGCCUGAACCUUGGAGGGGCUGUAUUUCAAUUUGUGCAACUAUUUCCUUGGGGGGAAGUGGAUUCUAACUAAAAAGUAAGUUCUAAUCUAUCGAUUCAUGUAAAAAUUAUAUGUUGUUACACGAGGGGUGCUACGGAAUUGAACAUUUUCGACCCUCAUCCAACGACCUGAACAUUUGCAAUAUCGACCUGUUUCAACUUUCAACAGGUAGUCUAUGAGCCGAAAUUCUGAGUUUUGUGAUACUGUAGCUUGGCGAUGCUUUAUAUUGCUAAUUUCAGAAAUAUAUUUUUCAAAUUCACUUUAUGAAUGUUCAUGUUGCAUUUCAAACUUAUCAGCUGUGUUCAUAUUUAUGUAUUUUAAUUUUUUAAAUAUAGACAUAAUUAAGGGCUUACAAGUUUCAAUACAAGAUUGCGUGAGGAUAGACUGAUAGUAUUUAAACAUUCAUAUACUGUAGCAAUGAGGUAGCGACAUACAUUCCUGCGUUCGUAUCAUAUUUCACAUACACAGCAGUAUAAUCAUAUCGAAAUACCCAGUAUAAAAAAUGCAAAUUUUGCAGCUUCUUUUAUUCUACGAUCCUCACGCAAUCUUUGUUGGUUUUAGGAAAAUUUCAUAUAAACCAACACAUUCCUAACUUAUAUAAACCAGCUGAGUUGACAAAAAUAGCAUGAUUCAUCCAAUAUUUAAAAUGAUUACGUUUGCAAAAUUUGUUUGCAAAAAAUUGCAAACGUAAUCACUUUAAUACUGCGACCUUUAAAAAGGUUGCAUCAGCAAAAUUUGUUUAAUUUAAAAUGUGAUUACGUUUUCAAAAAAAAUUGCAAACGUAAUCACUUUACUGCAACCUUCAAAAAGGUCACAUCGAAUGUUUUGGAUACUCAGUCGAACAAGACUAUGAGAGCUCGACAACUGGCCCCUGUAUGUAGCUCAGUUGGUGGAAUCGCAGGGCCACAGGGCCGAUUCCUGCCAGGGAUCUAAUCUCUAAAUUUGCAUUUUUUGCAGCUGUUCCUGGCCAGGUCUAAUAAAUGUAUAUAAAUUUUCACUCGACAAUUUCCAUCUACAAAGAGGAUACAUCCCAAGGGACGGAAUUUAUUUUUGGUGAAAGGUAUUUUAUGUUUAUAAUUUGUUCAGAAAAUUAAAUAAUUUGAUCAUAUAUGUGCGUGGGUGACUACCAGUAGAGCUGUGUUGUUAACCGAAAAAUUUGGUUCUUCUGGUAUCUUUUUUAGG